GGCACUAUGGCCGAGUGGUUAAGGCGAUAGAUUCGAAUAUCUUCGAAUUCUAUCUAUUCCCCUUGCGGGUCGCAGGUUCGAAUCCUGCUGGUGUCG